AGGGCCGUGAGCUGCUACCAGAAUGCAAAGGAGCAGCAAGGCCUGCGCUGUGUAAAGACCAGUGCUAUUUUCACUGAGUUCAGUGAGAGGCUCAGCACUGAUAUCUGCAUGACAUGAGUUGAGGUAUCCAGCUGACAGACGGUGUCGCAGUCCUGUGGCCGAGAUGGAGAAGUGAAGCUCGUGCCUGGGGCGGAGCUCUCCUCACAGGGCAUGCGGAGUGAGCACACGUCUCUGCAAGCUGUCCUCAACCUCCUGGUCAGCCCUUUCUCUUCCAAGAAUUGCCUGGGAGUCGUAGCUUUGGGUUCAUAACUCGCUUCAACGUUCCCCUUGAAGGGUUUAGUGUAGCCCGGCCCCAUCUUUAGAAAUGCCAUUUCCCUUGGGUGGAGGGAUUUGGAACCACCUUCUGGCCAAGCAAUGAAUGGGAUUUCUUCAUAGUUCUGGUCCUUGCACAGAAAGCAUUCACAGACCUGUCAGCACCUUACCUGUUCCCUGUCAGCAACGCUCCCUCCCUUGGACACGCUCUUCGCACAUGAGGCCGGUUUUGUGUGAGCAUGCGAGUUGCCAGCUCUGCUUCUUACCCGCCUGUAAAUAAGCAUGUGGCUUGUUACUAUUUCUUGAUGAGGAUUAGACGCAGUCCAAAUCAGACAUAUUCAGGAUGAGAAUGGGUGUAUGAGGAACAAUAUCAGCCUUGUCUUGGAGGCUUCUCUGAUAAAAACUGGUGCUGGAGAAGGCCUGCAUUAAUCUACCUGUGGGAAUCCUUUGUGCCAAUUUUUAUAGCUUUUUAUAAAGCCUCGUCUUUUACUGCAGUUUGUUCUUUCAUUCUGCCCUGUAUUUCACAGUUGACAUCAAUAUGCAAAUGUCGGGGUUUUUGUCUGUUCUGAACACAUUUUCCCCCUUUCAUUUCUUUUUAAAUAAAUAGAAUUCAUUAAUUCCA